GGUCCAUUGGUGUAGUGAGAGCACACCACCCUCUCAAGGUGUUGGUGCGGGUUUGAUUCCCGCAUGGACUAC
rnacentral:tRNA from 6 species